CUGCCGGCCCCUUGUGGAUGACCUGAUUUGGCUUCUUGAGCGAUGACUCCCAAACAACCCUGCUCAGAGCAGGGAUGUGACCAGACAGCCCUCAGGAAUUUCUUCUGCAUCUCCUCUCACCCUGUUGGAGAUGCCCUGCUGGACUCGGGCUGUGUUCACUCCUAGCAACAGAGUUUCGGUGGCAUACCUCUAAUCGGCUGCACUAAAAGGAAGGGAAAAGGCCAGAGAGAGGGACAGGAGAAGGAUGGCCUUGUAAAUUGGCAAGGACUGUUGGUUGCUUUUUUUGUUUGGUGCUUUCAAAUUCAAGGCUGGUUUGGACAUUGCAGGAGCCCUGUUUCUCCACUAACUGACACUCAGUGGAAAAGGUGCCAAGGGAUAAACAGUUCUCCUCCACUGUAUCCUUCCCACGUAUUAUGGAUUAAGAACUGGUGGUCAACUUAAUGCCAGCUGGAUUACAUCAGCAUGGCACUGAGCAAAGAUGCUCCACCUGAGGAAAUUUGCCAACAUAAAUAUGUGGAGAAGGAGAAGGAGGACGUUAAUGCUUUAUUGCAUUGUGUUGAGAUGUUAAGGCAUUGUGGAUUCUCCUACUAGUUGCUGUUUGAGCCGUUGGUUCUCCUGGAGAAGCUUUGGUCUUCACGUCAAGCAUUGCUUCCUGGCUCCAGAGGGUAAGACAUGUGCCACUUGGUCUCCAGGAUGAACUCAUCACGCUGCUUCCUAGCAUGUACCCGACUGUGCUCGUCAGAGGAGCUCGGGGCCUCCGUGUCACUGAGCAUGGCUGUGGUGCCUUUCAGGACAGCCCUAAUCCUUGUUGUGAGUGUGACUUCUCAGCUCCAGUGUAGAACCCUCAUCCCACCAGCACAGCUCCUUCACCCCUCUGGCAUGGACUUUCUGGCUUCCACCACUGACCGUUGGUCCUUCCCAGCACAGAUCUGCAAAAGAGACUGGCAUGAGUCCUUCUUGUGGGCUCUGGACCUCCUGUUGGACUAAUGGGAGGCAUUCUCAUGAGCUCUGGGUUUUCCAUCUGGACUCAUAUGAGACAUUGCUGUGGGAUUUAGGCCCUUGACUAAAUACUCUAUGUCUUUGGUGUUGCAGAUAGAUUUCCUGCAUUCUCCGGUGUUAACUUCCGGUGAACAUUAUAAAAAUAAUAUUAUAAACUCCAUGUCCUGGUUCUAAUUGUUCUCUGUGCUCAACCCCUAACUACAACAGACCCAAAGCAGCACAGACAAGUGGCAAUGGACUGAAACCUCUGAAACUGUGAGUCAAAGUGACCCUUCUUCUUUUUCAAGUUGGUUGUCCCAACUAUUUUUGUCACAGUGAUAAGACAUUACUUCACAGAGAAAGGCUGCAGUGAGUGAAUCAUGUACUAGUGUCUGUAUAACUUUUAGAGAGGUUGCCACCCAGCUUUCUAAGGUGACUGGUGCAAUUCAUGGGGACGACAGCUACCACAUGAAUGAAUCCCACAUGACCUGGAUGGAAAAGUAUGCUAUUUCACCUUCACAGGAGGUCUAUCUUCAAAUUAGGACACCUGAGGGAGUUGGAAGCUGUGGAGCAAAACGAAUCAAGGACCCAGUACCAGUCUGAAACUAAAGGCCUGGAAGCAACCUAGAGAGUCGCUAUCAUGAAUCUUCAAUGAAAGGCUGAAGAAACAGAGAGCUGAUAUCCACAGGUCUAACGUUGAUGGGCGCCAGGACCUCAACUAUCCAACUUCUACCCCGAUAUCAAUGUGAUGGCUGGAGGGAAAAGAUCUGAUAUCCUCAUCUCGUAUCAGGAAACUCCUUCACCCAGGAAUUAAGAGCAUUUCAAGAUUUCAAUUCGUGUUCCCUUGGGAUCUGUUACUUCCUGUCCUGGGACAAGACAAAGCAUCACGGCAGAAUACAGCUGUAUCUUCAUGACAGCCAGGAAUUAAACAACAAGAAGACAACCAGAAAGGAGGAAUGGGUCUGAGACAAGAGUAUGCUCUUCCAGACUGAGCCUCUAGUCUGCUUCCUCCCGGCAGGCUUCUCCUAAUGGUGCUUUCAGCUAUGAAGCCAUCGGUGGGUGCAUCCAUUGAUAAAAAGUCAGUGUUCUUAUGAUUCAGCGACCUCGCUAGAUCCCCAUCUCUGAAUUCUGCUGCAUGCGAGACCAACUCCGCAGUCCAUGAGUCUUUGGUGGGGACACCUAAUAUUUAAAAUAUAAUGGGAUACCAGUACGGCGUGUCACUUGCUCUGAGGUUCAGUUUUCCUUCAUUCUGCAAUGAGAAUAGUACUGAUGAUCACUACAAGAAUCCAACAAAGGGCUGGGGAUUUAGCUCAGCAUAAGCGCCUGCCUUGCAAGCACGCGGUCGUGAGUUUGAUCCCUGGUACCAAUAAAAAAAGAAUCCAACAAAGCCAGAUGAAACGGGUAUUGACCAACCACCUAACACAUAUUUGCUGCCAAAUAGAGGGUCCUUUAUUCAUUCAAUGUUUAAGUCAGCUGACAACCACAAAGAAUUUAGAAAAGAUGUAUUUUAGAGAGAUGACUGUUGAACAUUGUAUCACACAAAGCUUCUGAAAAUCUGAGAAACUCAGAAAUCAGGAUGGGGAGAAGGAAAGUGGAAGUGAGAGGGGGAUGUUGAAUGGGGAAAGUGUCUCCGUUGUUUGUUUUUAAAAGGAAAAGGUGUGUGUCAGCCGGUUGACUCCUCAAAAACACUAAUUAAAAUUUUAUUCUUUUUAUCUCCAUAAAACAAGCAAAAUACUUUUAGCAAUACUGAACUUUCUAGAGGCUCAAGAAAAUAAUUGCCUGGGUCUUACAUUAAUUGAUUUUUAAAAUUACUCUUAGGUUUUAGGUUUGGAGUUUGCUUUUGCGAACAUUCAGUGAGUUAAAGCCAAAUUCUAAGUCAAGUGACAGCUUCUGAUGUACACAGAAAGACAGAGCUCAGGCAGCUGCUUCUGGCCUCUGACACUGCUGAAAGGUCAGAUCUCGGCUCUCUGCUGGGACUGUAGAGUACUGGGGGGGGACUGUGCCUCAUGCCAGCUACCCAACAAGAAGUCACACCCCAGGCUACCCUUGAUGUGCUGAGGUCUCUUAGGAAAGCAGCUUCUCUGAGCUCCUCUUCCUGCUCUCCCAGAUGCAGAGUGGAGGCCAGGUGUGCUGCUGUUGAAUGGUCAGGACAAUGGUAAUCUUGCAAAGUGUUUUGAGAACUGAAAUUAUCAAAUAUUGAGGUGCAUAUGUAAACAUACCAUGCAUUUUUCUCCUAACCUCAAAGGCAAUCUUCACUGUGGAGGGGAUUUUCUUUGUAUCUCUAUUGCUUGUAUUCUCACCAAUUUUAUAGUCACAACCAAUGUGUAAUAUUAAUUCUUAAGUUUUAUAUAAAUGAUACCUACACAUAUGUUUCUGUAACUUACCCUUAUCUCUCAAUAUCAUGCUUUUGAGAUGUAGUUAUAUAGAUGUAUUUAUACAUUAAAAUCUAGUGCAAUUUAUUUUAACUGCUAGAGAAUAUUUCUUUGUAGAAAAACUGUACUUUAUGCCUUUAUUGAUGGAUACUUAGCUUGUUUAAUGUUUUUGUGAUUACUAAUAAGACUAUAAUGAAUAUCUUUGAUCAUAACUGCAAAAUGCAUGUGCCAGGCUUUCUCUAGGCUGUACAUGUAAAAGUCAAUUCCUGCAAAAUAGGGUGUGCAUAUCUUCAGCUUUAGUAGAUAUUGACGAAUCGUUCUCUGAAGAGCCUAUACUAAUUUACAACCCUAUCCACACUUACGACAGUUUCUACUUUCUCAUCAAUGCUUGGUAUUAUAAGACUUUUAAAUUUUGUUCCUAACUGAAUAGCAAUACAAAUGACCACUUUUUAUUAUAAAUACGUAUUUUAUUUUUUACUAACAAGUUUUUACAUUCAAAAGCAUUCCUUAGCUGUUUGAAUUUACUCUUCUAUAGAUUUCUUGUUCAUGUCCUUCGUCAAUUGCUCCCUUAUUGUUUUGUUUCUUUAAAAUGCAUUUGUGGAAAAAUAUUCUUAAUAUUCUGGAAACAAAUCCUUUGUUGACUACAUGAUAUUGAUUUCCAUGUUCCUGAACUCUCAGCUAUUUUUAUUGGGCAGACUUGAAUGUAAACAGCUAGAGCUGCCAGGCAAAUUUUGAACUAGGUCAUCACAGAUUUCUACAGCACUAUAGCCAAGUGGCCAGAGAUAGGCCUGGGGUUCAGAGACCUUGGGUCCUAGUUUCAGUGUGACCCCUAGUUAUCCGAGUUCCUGGGUCUCUUUUAUUCGCAUCUGUAAAAUCACAAUAUUAAUAGCAGCUCCCAAGGGCUUCUGUGAGACACAAACAAGGUAUAUAAAAUCACCUUGCAAAAUGCAAAACAAACACUGGCCAUUAUUAGUAGCAGCAACCCAAAUCGUAUUAUUUGUGCAGGCUGCCAUAAUAAAAUACCACAA